rnacentral:lncRNA from 1 species
UCUAGCGUAAACAGGUGCUCAGGUAGGUCACCGAAAUUUCUCUCGAACAAUCACAUAAUAUGUGUAACCGUCGAACUUUUUAAAAUAAUAAGUGCAACGAUAAAAUUAGCCUAUGGAGUCGACACGCAUGACUUUCGAAAUUUUCGUUACUGGUACAGCCAACCGACAAGUUCAGACACGACAAGCGUGUAGAAGCUUCAGGGUGGAUUAAACCGGUUUGGCAAAUUCUGUAACGAACUGUUUGUAUGACUGAGAUUUCUCCCCACAUUUUGCAGGUGCAUAAAAGUAUACCAAAAUUAAAUACUCUACUUUCGUUUGCGUUCUCCUAACCUUGUAAUGCUUCCUUUACUUCCAAGAUUGACUUUUAAUUAGCUCCCGCAGGGAUUUCUUUGGAAGCAACCGUGGUUUUAAGUCCAGCUUGUUAUUCAGAUUUGUGAAGCCAUUCUUUUAUGAGCUGAACCGUUGGGUGUUAAUGCGAACCUAAAACAACAGGAUCACAAAUUUCUGGAAAUCAUUGAAAUCUCUGCCGUCCUGUAAAUUCAAUUCUAGCACAAUAAUUUUUUGAAACAAAACAUUGCCGUUGAUAACCUUUAUUUGGUUAAUGCGUCACGAAAACAGUUCAUACUUCAUUAUUUGUCAAGAAUGAAAUCAUUAUUUUCUAGACAGUGUAGAAUUUCCAUUUAGUUACUUUCCUCCUCAUUGUCUUCUGUUUGAAAAUACGAAACAAAAAUAAUUUUUUUGAAUAGAAAUUUUCAAUCCGUUAAGAUAAAUUACCUUCGUCAUCAUCUCCUUCUUCCUGACCCUCUUCAUCUUCACUUUCCUCUUCCUCCCCUUCUUCUUCUCCCUCCUCUUCGCCUUCUUCAUCUAAUUCAUCCUCUUCUUCUCCACUGGCUUCUUCAUCACUUUCCAUUUCUUCGUCUUCGUUUUCAACCUUCCUUUUCUUGCUUGGAGGUCCCUAAAUGAUGGCGAAAAAUUUUAAGAUGCAACUAAUGAAAUAUUCGAUGGAACCUGACUACCUCUUUGAUGUCGGUUUCAGGCAGUUUGGCUUUGAUUUCGCCUAAAUCGGGAAGUUCCUGUAACAAAUCCGAGUAUGCUGGGAAAACGUAUACUUUUUUCCCGGCAAUUUUUAAAUCGGUAGAACUUAAUAUUUCGGCUGUCCGCUCCGCGGUGUCGAAACCAAGAUAAGCAUGACUAAAUAAAAUAUCGUGGAAUUAAAAUUUGUCUAUAAAGAAGGGAUUAAUAUUUUACCAAAACUUGGAGGCAGGGAAUGUCUUUUUGUAAAUAACCACAGCAUUGGCAUCAGGAAACUGAGAGAUAAUAUCAAAACAAGAGACAUUUUUCGGAACAUCUCUUAGUACAACCCUUAAAUAAAAUAAGGCGAUUAGUACUUGAAAUAAAAUGGUAAAACUUGUGAACAAAUUAAGUAAUUGAGUAUAACUCACUUGUCUUGUGGUACUUUGUUAUAGGAUGAUCGAAGAUAACCCACAUCCGCAGACCGUAAGCUAUUUUCACCUAUCUUUGUCUUCAAUUUCUCAGCUGCACUCUCUGCUUCCUUACGAGUUGCAAAACGCAAAAUGCCG